rnacentral:tRNA from 1 species
AGGGGUGUAGCUUAGUGGUAGAGCACUUGCCUAAGCAUGUGUGAGGAUAUGAGGCCCUGGGUUCCAUCCCCAGUCCCCCGU